GUGCUUGCUUUGGCAGCACAUACACUGAAAUUGGAAUGAUACAGAGAAGAUUAGCGUGGCCCCUGCAUAAGGAUGACACGCAAUUUCAUGAAACAUUCCAUAUUCUU
rnacentral:snRNA from 1 species